rnacentral:rRNA from 1 species
GUGGUUUAAUUCGAUGAUACGCGAGGAACCUUACCUGGGUUUAAAUGGAAGUGACAGCUUUAGAAAUAGAGCCUUCUUCGGACACUUUUCAAGGUGCUGCAUGGUUGUCGUCAGCUCGUGCCGUGAGGUGUCGGGUUAAGUCCCAUAACGAGCGCAACCCCUAUUGAUAGUUACCAGCACGUAAUGGUGGGGACUCUAUCGAGACUGCCGGUGUAAACCGUGAGGAAGGUGGGGAUGACGUCAAAUCAGCACGGCCCUUACAUCCAGGGCUACACACGUGUUACAAUGGCCGGUACAAAGGGCAGCUACUCCGCGAGGAGAUGCGAAUCUUAAAAACCGGUCUCAGUUCGGAUCGAAGUCUGCAACCCGACUUCGUGAAGCUGGAUUCGCUAGUAAUCGUAUAUCAGCCAUGAUACGGUGAAUACGUUCCCGGGCCUU